GAAAAUAUGCAUUAUGAGAAAAUGUGAAAUAAUCUAUAUUUACAUAGAGAAUUCAGUGUGCCGUAGGAAGAAUAUAUUCUAUUUAUUACACGCACUUCAAAAUUUUGAUAUAUUUUGAUGAAUGUUUAAGAAAUCACUAAUUCAACUGAUAUUUUCACAAGCAACCUGACAAUAAUAAAAACACUAAUUUGAUUGGGGUUUUGUGUGUAUUUGACAUAUACAGUAACUUUGAUACUCUGAAUUGGCAUUUUAAUAUUGUUACUAAAAUUAUUUUUUAUAUUGAUGAUUUUGUAUUUAU
rnacentral:misc_RNA from 1 species